rnacentral:rRNA from 1 species
GAUGAACGCUAGCGGCAGGCCUAACACAUGCAAGUCGAGGGGUAGAACACUUCGGUGUUUGAGACCGGCGCACGGGUGCGUAACGCGUAUGCAAUCUACCUUGUACAGGGGAAUAGCCCAGAGAAAUUUGGAUUAAUGCCCCAUAGUAUAUAACCUUCGCAUGUUGGUUAUAUUAAAGUUCCAACGGUACAAGAUGAGCAUGCGUCCCAUUAGUUAGUUGGUAAGGUAACGGCUUACCAAGACGAUGAUGGAUAGGGGUCCUGAGAGGGAGAUCCCCCACCCUGGUACUGAGACACGGACCAGACUCCUACGGGAGGCAGCAGUGAGGAAUAUUGGUCAAUGGGCGCAAGCCUGAACCAGCCAUGCCGCGUGCAGGAAGACGGUCCUAUGGAUUGUAAACUGCUUUUAUACAGGAAGAAACAACUCUACGUGUAGAGUCUUGACGGUACUGUAGGAAUAAGGAUCGGCUAACUCCGUGCCAGCCGCCGCAGUAACAC